rnacentral:rRNA from 1 species
UACGUAGGGUGCAAGCGUUGUCCGGAAUUACUGGGCGUAAAGAGCUCGUAGGCGGUUUGUCGCGUCGUCUGUGAAAACUCGAGGCUCAACCUCGAGCUUGCAGGCGAUACGGGCAGACUUGAGUACUGCAGGGGAGACUGGAAUUCCUGGUGUAGCGGUGAAAUGCGCAGAUAUCAGGAGGAACACCGGUGGCGAAGGCGGCUAUCUGGACGGUUUCUGACGCUAAGACGCGAAAGCGUGGGGAGCAAACAGG